rnacentral:rRNA from 1 species
UACGUAGGGGACAAGCGUUGUCCGGAUUUACUGGGCGUAAAGGGCACGCAGGCGGUUUUUUAAGUCAGAUGUGAAAGGUACCGGCUCAACCGGUGACAUGCAUUUGAAACUGAAAGACUUGAGUACGGGAGAGGGUAGUGGAAUUUCGAGUGUAGGGGUGAAAUCCGUAGAUAUUCGAAGGAACACCGGUGGCGAAGGCGGCUUGCUGGACAAAUACUGACGCUGAGGUGCGAAAGCGUGGGGAG